AUACGAAGGGUGCAAGCGUUGUUCGGAUUUAUUGGGCGUAAAGCGCGCGCAGGCGGACAACUAAGCCAGAUGUGAAAUCUCGGGGCUCAACCCCGAAACUGCGUUUGGAACUGGUUGUCUAGAGUCUCGGAGAGGGAAGGGGAAUUUCGCAUGUAGGGGUAAAAUCCGUAGAGAUGCGAAGGAACACCAGAGGCGAAGGCGCCUUCCUGGACGAGUACUGACGCUGAGGCGCGAAAGCGUGGGGAGCGAACAGGAUUAGAUACCCCGGUAGUCC
rnacentral:rRNA from 1 species